UUUAUUUAGAGAGUUUGAUCCUGGCUCAGGAUGAACGCUGGCGGCGUGCUUAACACAUGCAAGUCGAACGAAGCACUUGAAACAGAUUCUUCGGAUGAAGUUUCCUGUGACUGAGUGGCGGACGGGUGAGUAACGCGUGGGUAACCUGCCUCAUACAGGGGGAUAACAGUUAGAAAUGGCUGCUAAUACCGCAUAAGCGCACGGCAUCGCAUGAUGCAGUGUGAAAAACUCCGGUGGUAUGAGAUGGACCCGCGUUGGAUUAGCUAGUUGGCAGGGUAACGGCCUACCAAGGCGACGAUCCAUAGCCGGCCUGAGAGGGUGGACGGCCACAUUGGGACUGAGACACGGCCCAGACUCCUACGGGAGGCAGCAGUGGGGAAUAUUGCACAAUGGGGGAAAC
rnacentral:rRNA from 1 species